CGGUUAAGUUAGAAAGGGCGCACGGUGAAUGCCUUGGCACUAGGAGCCGAUGAAGGACGGUACUAACACCGAUAUGCUUCGGGGAGCUGUAAGUAAGCUUUGAUCCGGAGAUUUCCGAAUGGGGAAACCCCCUAUCCGUAAUGGGAUAGGAUCUUUACCUGAAUACAUAGGGUAUGGAAGGCAGACCCGGGGAACUGAAACAUCUAAGUACCCGGAGGAAGAGAAAGCAAACGCGAUUUCCUGAGUAGCGGCGAGCGAAACGGGAUUAGCCCAAACCAGGAGGCUUGCCUCUUGGGGUUGUAGGACACUCUAUACGGAGUUACAAAGGAACGAGGUAAAUGAACAGGUCUGGAAAGGCCGGCCAGAGAAGGUAAAAGCCCUGUAGUUGAAACUUCGUUCCCUCCAGAGUGGAUCCUGAGUACGGCGGGACACGAGAAAUCCCGUCGGAAGCAGGGAGGACCAUCUCCCAAGGCUAAAUACUCCCUAGUGACCGAUAGUGAACCAGUACCGUGAGGGAAAGGUGAAAAGCACCCCGGAAGGGGAGUGAAAGAGAUCCUGAAACCGUGUGCCUACAAGUAGUUAGAGCCCGUUAAUGGGUGAUAGCGUGCCUUUUGUAGAAUGAACCGGCGAGUUACGAUUACAUGCGAGGUUAAGUUGAUAAGACGGAGCCGCAGCGAAAGCGAGUCUGAAUAGGGCGAAUGAGUAUGUGGUCGUAGACCCGAAACCAGGUGAUCUACCCAUGUCCAGGGUGAAGUCCAGGUAACACUGGAUGGAGGCCCGAACCCACGCACGUUGAAAAGUGCGUGGAUGAGGUGUGGGUAGCGGAGAAA
rnacentral:rRNA from 1 species